UACGAAGGGGGCUAGCGUUGUUCGGAUUCACUGGGCGUAAAGGGUGCGUAGGUGGUGAGGUAAGUCGGAUGUGAAAGCUCCAAGCUCAACUUGGAAAUGGCAUUGGAAACUACCUUGCUAGAGGGUUUGAGGGGGGACUGGAAUACUUGGUGUAGCAGUGAAAUGCGUAGAUAUCAAGUGGAACACCAGUGGCGAAGGCGAGUCCCUGGAAAACUCCUGACACUGAGGCACGAAAGCUAGGGGAGCAAACAGG
rnacentral:rRNA from 1 species